ensembl:lncRNA
CUGAGACACACCAUCAAGAUGAGAACACCAGCUUCAAACAACCAUGCAACAGUUCGUUGUUGUCUUUAACCAACUCCCUUCUUCUGAUGCUGGACAUAGUAAGAUCAGAGUGCCGGAUAACCAUUUCUCCUUCCAGACAGACCAUCAGCAGGGUCUCAGAUUAGUCCUCUCUAAAGUCCUGAAUGCCAUGGAGAACUGGUUUGUCUGAGUUACACCAAUACAGAGAGAACAAGUUAUUUCUCCUACGUACAUAGGAAUAGGAUGAGAGAGCCUCAAGUCAUGCCAGGGAGAUUCAGGUAGGAUCUUAGGAAAUACUUCUGCUCUAACAGAGUGCUCAGGUGCUGGAACGGGCUGUCUGAAGGAGGUGGUGGAGUCACCAACCCUGGGCGUGUUCAAGAAACUUUUAGCUUUUGUACCUAGGGCCGUGGAGUCAUGGGACAUAUUGGUGAUAGGUAAAAGGAAUGACUAUUUUACUAGGAGUAAUCCAGCAGACUGCUUAGGAGAGCAGGAAUUUCUGAUUUUAAGGUCGAUGUUUAGUCAGUCAGUUGAGAUUUCUUGACUUGGAUUUGUGCAUUGGAUUGGCCACAUGGCCAAUAAUAAGUAAGCUUACUGCAGGAAGGCAAUACUGACAUGCAGGCUCAAAUGUCAAAUGUUGGUUUCUAGAUGAGUGUGAGCAUGCUCUGACUACUUGACCUGAGACUCUGUCGUGGUGGGCGAGGGUACGAUUUUCAGUCAGCCUCAGCUUCUGUCUUUCAAAUCGUGACCUGAAAUUUGCUGACACUGUCAGAAGUGCCAGUUGUUUGUUUUUGUUGCUCUUAGAGGGUUGGUUUGUUCUAGUUGUCUCUGAGCUAUGUCUUCUCAAGUGUAUAGGAAGAGCCGGUGAGAUGCUAGUAGUCCAUGACUGAGUGAUCAGCUUUGACUGGUCUGGAAGGGAAACCUUUCUCAGGGCUUUGGUGUGGAGAAGGUCUUUGGGGUCCUGGUGGACCAGAAGGUGGACGGGAGCCGGCAGUGCAUGCUUGCAGCCUGGAAGGCCAACUCUCUCCCGGGCUGCAUUAAAAAAGCAUCUACGUUUGAUAAAGAAGCUCACAAAAGAAAACAACAACUUCUGGGAAUGUAAAGGUUUUAGCUCUUGCGUAGAAACUUGGGUAUAGUUGCGGUAGGUGAAAACGCAGAAAUGCAAACGGAGAGUUCUCCUAGAGCUCAUGUAGCGGUUAUGGUGGGGUGAACGAACCCUGCUUUGCUUUUGGCUCCAAGCUUGCUUUCGGAGGCAUUUCUGGGGGUGAUGCAGUCACCAACCCUGGGGGUGUUCAAGAAACUUUUAGCUUUUGUACCUAGGGCCGUGGAGUCAUGGGACAUAUUGGUGAUAGGUGGAUGGUUGGAGCCCUUGGAGGUCAUUUCCAGCCUUGCCGAUUCCCUGAGUCCUGUUUCUUAGCUCCAGAAUCCCACUUUAUCCUUCCCAAGGUUCAACAGGGAUUUGUCGACGGGCUCUAACGCCUCUCAUGCACGAAUAAGACAUUUGGGAAUUGGGAUGGAUUUUAUUGACGUGAUUGGUGACAGGGUGACAAUGGUGACAGACUCCCUAAUGCUUGUGCAGGCCCAAUGGUGUCCCGAUGAAGGGCCGCAGUGUGUUCUGGGGUCAGAAAAGAGCGGGCGUAGGUGGACGGAUGCCAAGGGCAGGUGCCAGCUCUGCAGGCAGGACCCAGCGGAGGAUGUCCUUCUGCAGCACAACUAGGGUGAAGAAAACAAGCUGCAGCAGGCCCAAGAACAGCAGAAACCUCCUGUGGAAGAGAAGAAGGUCCAGUCAGAUCCGGGGGCACGUUUGUCACAGCACUUUCCAACCAGCCCCGGCAAGUGGCCCGUGGACAUGUGCCAUACAGGGAGCAACGGAAUCUGUUGUAGCUCUGCGCAGGGCUGCCAAGAUCCCCACCCCACCUGCUCUCCCACCCAGGACCCUAAGCAAUACUGAGGCAUUUUAUCCCCCAAAAGUCAAAAGCUGCCUGAUGGUCUCUGGACCCCAGGGCGACUCACCGCAGCCAGGAAGUUACAAGUGGAUGCUUCUGUGCUGCCGUCUGCUCAUCCUAGAGGACAAAGCAAAGUAGGGCCACGCGUUGGGGUGAGCGCAGGUUUGGGCACUCGGAAGCCCUCCUUCGUCCCCACAGCCAGAGGGAGGCCCAUAUCCCCUGCGGUGGCCCUGAGGUGAGCCUUCCCUCCCCAAGGCCCCGCUGGGGCUUUCUCUCUUACCAAUCGCACAGCCACUGUCUCCUGCAGCAGGGAACUCAUGUGCUCUUCCCUGCGUGCCGUCUUCCUCCUGCUACAGACGCGGGGAGUUUGGUGUGUGAGAAGAGGCCUCGGCCGGCACCAGGACCUCUCCCCUACCCCCCCCCCCCCCCCAUCCCAUGGUGGCCACGGGGACCCGAGGCAGCUGCCCGGCCUCUGCUGGAGCUGGGACGGGCACCCCUGGGUGCCAGACCUGCACAGGCCCGGCCUUCCCGAGCUCCAGCCGACGGCCCAGAUGGCUGGGGGCUGCUGGGAUCCCAGCUCCCCCCUGCCUCAGGUCUGGGCUGUGCUGCUACUCACGGCGCAGUGCGCUUUUGGGCCCUCCGUUGUGCCUUCUGGAGGUUUUUCAUCUCCAUUUCCACCUCCUCCUUCAGUGCCUGGGGAAGGAAAGGGUCCGGUCAAGAGCCCGUCCCGUGUCUGCUGGCAGGGGGCUUUCCCCGAUCAGUGCGCUGCUCUCCAUUCUCUCCCUCCCACCCUGCGUACCUGACGGAUUUUGGUCUGCUCUCGGAGAACAGCUGCCAGCUCCGCAGACCUCUUCUUACACUGCAAGGCAAUGGGGACCAGGGGCAUGGAUGCAGGGUGGGAAAGGGUGUUUGCAGCCCGCGCCCAGGGCACAGCAGGGCCAGGCCGGAGCGGGGCAGCAAGCCCUGCGGCGCCCUGGCUGCGUGGCCCAGCAGCUCUGCCCUGCGGGGUUUCUGCAGGUGGCUCACGCACCUCCAUGAGCUCCUCCAGCAGUGCGCCUGACUCAGCGUUGUCUACCGCCAGCAUUUCACUGGAGUACUUCUCUGCCAUGGCUUCAGCUGCGCGCGCAACAGAAGGCAGAUGGGUGUGAGGGGCACGGCUGUGGGCAUGGCAGGGAUAGAACCCUAUCCCAGUGCGCCAUUGCGCGUGGGAGCUCACGCGUGCUCCUUUCCGGCUGUGCUUUGGCACACCGGGUGUCCCACGUGCAGCCCUGGCCACUGCCACGAGUGCCGGCAUGGGUACAGCUGCCAGCCCAUGACCAUGAGGCAUGGCCUCAUCCCCCCCCUCUGGCAGGCACAGGCAGGCCCUUUCAGACCCAACACGGCCGUGCGCCGGCACUGCGAGAAGGGGAGACGAGGCCUGGUGCCAGGCAAGCUGCAGGGCUUCUUACCGCUCAGUGCGCACAGCUGCGGAUGGGUUCGCGACAGUCCUCGACCACGCUGUGGGCUGGGAGGGCACCGGGGGCACUCUCUGCCUUCAGUCUCCUCUCCCAAUCUCUCCCACCUCCUCGCAGUGCCGGUGCUCAGCACCAAGUGCUCUCUGUGCCCAGGGAGCGGUGCUUCUGCUACUCUGCAGGGUGAUUGCGUCACAAUGCUCUGGCUGUGACGCGUGCCCCUCCGCCCACGGGGAAGCGCCGCUCCUCGGCUGGUGUGCAGAGCAUCAGGAGGCGAUCAUAGAAU